GGUCAAGCGAAUAAGCGCACACGGUGGAUGCCUUGGCGGUCAGAGGCGAUGAAGGACGUGGCAGCCUGCGAAAAGUAUCGGGGAGCUGGCAACAAGCUUUGAUCCGGUAAUGUCCGAAUGGGGAAACCCACCCGCUUGCGGGUAUCCUGCAGUGAAUACAUAGCUGCUGGAAGCGAACCUGGUGAACUGAAAUAUCUAAGUAACCAGAGGAAAAGAAAUCAACCGAGAUUCCGUAAGUAGCGACGAGCGAACGCGGACUAGCCCUUAAGCUGAUUUGGUUCUAGGAAAACGCUCUGGAAAGAGCGGCCAUAGAAGGUGAUAGCCCUGUAUCUGAAAGGGCCAUUUCAGUGAAGACGAGUAGGGCGGGGCACGUGAAACCCUGUCUGAACAUGGGGGGACCAUCCUCCAAGGCUAAAUACUACUGACCGACCGAUAGUGAACCAGUACCGUGAGGGAAAGGCGAAAAGAACCCCGGAGAGGGGAGUGAAAUAGAACCUGAAACCGUGUGCGUACAAGCAGUAGGAGCUCCGCAAGGAGUGACUGCGUACCUUUUGUAUAAUGGGUCAGCGACUUACUGUUCGUGGCAAGCUUAACCGUAUAGGGGAGGCGAAGGGAAACCGAGUCUGAUAAGGGCGCAUAGUCGCGGGCAGUAGACCCGAAACCGGGUGAUCUAGUCAUGCCCAGGGUGAAGGUGCGGUAACACGCACUGGAGGCCCGAACCCACUCCCGUUGCAAAGGUAGGGGAUGAGGUGUGAUUAGGAGUGAAAAGCUAAUCGAACCCGGAGAUAGCUGGUUCUCCUCGAAAGCUAUUUAGGUAGCGCCUCAUAUGUAUCCUCUCGGGGGUAGAGCACUGUUAUGGCUAGGGGGUCAUCGCGACUUACCAAACCAUUGCAAACUCCGAAUACCGAGACGGACUGUAUGGGAGACACACGGCGGGUGCUAACGUCCGUCGUGAAAAGGGAAACAACCCAGACCCACAGCUAAGGUCCCAAAUUUUGUGCUAAGUGGAAAACCAUGUGGAAAGGCACAGACAGCCAGGAGGUUGGCUUAGAAGCAGCCACCCUUUAAAGAAAGCGUAAUAGCUCACUGGUCGAGUCGGUCUGCGGGGAAGAUUUAACGGGGCUAAGCACAGAACCGAAGCUUGGGGUGCAUACUUUGUAUGCGCGGUAGAGGAGCGUUCCGUAAGCCGUUGAAGGUGGAUUGAGAAGUCUGCUGGAGGUAUCGGAAGUGCGAAUGCUGACAUGAGUAACGAUAAUGCGGGUGAAAAACCCGCACGCCGAAAGCCCAAGGUUUCCUUGCGCAACGUUAAUCGGCGCAGGGUGAGUCGGCCCCUAAGGCGAGGACGAAAGUCGUAGUCGAUGGGAAGCAGGUUAAUAUUCCUGCACCUCGCGUAAGUGCGAUGGAGGGACGGAGAAGGUUAGGUGUACCAGGCGUUGGUUGUCCUGGGGAAAGGCGGUAGGUUUGGAUCUUUGGCAAAUCCGGGAUCCUUUAAGACCGAGCACCGAGACGAGCCUUUAUGGCGAAGUCACUGAUACCACGCUUCCAGGAAAAGCUCCUAAGCUUCAGCUUACGCAGACCGUACCGUAAACCGACACAGGUGGGUAGGAUGAGAAUUCUCAGGCGCUUGAGAGAACUCGGGUGAAGGAACUAGGCAACAUGGCACCGUAACUUCGGGAGAAGGUGCACCCUUUUUGGUGGCUCGUGCGAGCUAUAGCUGAAGAGGGUCGCAGUAACCAGGCCGCUGCGACUGUUUAUCAAAAACACAGCACUCUGCAAACACGAAAGUGGACGUAUAGGGUGUGACGCCUGCCCGGUGCUGGAAGGUUAAUUGAUGGGGUCAGCCGCAAGGCGAAGCUCUUGAUCGAAGCCCCAGUAAACGGCGGCCGUAACUAUAACGGUCCUAAGGUAGCGAAAUUCCUUGUCGGGUAAGUUCCGACCUGCACGAAUGGCGUAACGACAGCGGCGCUGUCUCCACCCGAGACUCAGUGAAAUUGAAAUCGCUGUGAAGAUGCAGCGUUCCCGUGGCAAGACGGAAAGACCCCGUGAACCUUUACUAUAGCUUUACACUGAACGUUGAGUUCGUCUGUGUAGGAUAGGUGGGAGGCUAUGAAACCAUGGCGCUAGCUGUGGCGGAGCCAUCCUUGAAAUACCACCCUGUCGUGCUUGACGUUCUAACCUGGGCCCAUUAUCUGGGUCGGGGACCGUGUAUGGUGGGUAGUUUGACUGGGGCGGUCUCCUCCUAAAGAGUAACGGAGGAGCUCGAAGGUACGCUCAGCGCGGUCGGACAUCGCGCACUGUGUGCAAAGGCAUAAGCGUGCUUGACUGCAAGAUCGACGGAUCAAGCAGGUAGGAAACUAGGACUUAGUGAUCCGGUGGUUCUGUAUGGAAGGGCCAUCGCUCAACGGAUAAAAGGUACUCCGGGGAUAACAGGCUGAUACCGCCCAAGAGUUCAUAUCGACGGCGGUGUUUGGCACCUCGAUGUCGGCUCAUCACAUCCUGGGGCUGUAGUCGGUCCCAAGGGUAUGGCUGUUCGCCAUUUAAAGUGGUACGCGAGCUGGGUUCAGAACGUCGUGAGACAGUUCGGUCCCUAUCUGCCAUGGGCGUUGGAGAUUUGAGAGGGGCUGCUCCUAGUACGAGAGGACCGGAGUGGACGAACCUCUGGUGUUCCGGUUGUCACGCCAGUGGCAUUGCCGGGUAGCUAUGUUCGGAAGCGAUAACCGCUGAAAGCAUCUAAGCGGGAAGCGCGCCUCAAGAUGAGAUCUCCCGGGGCACAAGCCCCCUGAAGGAACCAUGUAGACUACGUGGUUGAUAGGUCAGGUGUGUAAGUACAGCAAUGUAUUGAGCUAACUGAUACUAAUGAUCCGUGCGGCUUGACCAU
rnacentral:rRNA from 2 species